rfam:Camelus ferus unplaced genomic scaffold scaffold765, whole genome shotgun sequence.
GCACAAAUGAUGGAAAAAUCACUAUUUGGAAAAAAAUGACAUGAACAAAGGAACCACUGAUGCGC